CCUACGGGUGGCUGCAGUGGGGAAUUUUGGACAAUGGGCGCAAGCCUGAUCCAGCCAUGCCGCGUGUGGGAAGAAGGCCUUCGGGUUGUAAACCACUUUUGUCAGGGAAGAAACGGUUCAAUCUAAUACAUUGAACUAAUGACGGUACCUGAAGAAUAAGCACCGGCUAACCACGUGCCAGCAGCCGCGGUAAUACGUAGGGUGCAAGCGUUGAUCGGAGUGACUGGGCGUAAAGUUGCAACAGGGGGCUGAAAUCCCCGGGCUCAACCUGGGAACUGCAUUUGUGACUGCAUGGCUAGAGUGCGGCAGAGGGGGAUGGAAUUCCGCGUGUAGCAGUGAAAUGCGUAGAUAUGCGGAGGAACACCGAUGGCGAAGGCAAUCCCCUGGGCCUGCACUGACGCUCAUGCACGAAAGCGUGGGGAGCAAACAGGAUUAGAUACCCUUGUAGUC
rnacentral:rRNA from 1 species